UGAAUCCGGGGGCUAAAUUAAUAGAGCCACGCGGGCCGCCCCUGCUGCAACAUGGCCCAGCUGGAUGAAUGCAGAAUCGGGCUGCCAAGAAAGGAAAGGAGCGCUGGAAAACGGGCCGACCCAGUGGCCGGAGACCCGAUCUGUGGCGCUUCCGGCCUGUCCCUUUGAGACCAGAGACCCGUUGUCUAAAGAGGGCUCGGCUAGAAAAGGCCAGUAUCUGCGAAUCCGGUGAUUUUGUUCAUCGGAAGAAGAUUUUGAAAAUCAAGCCAAGAUUAUGCAAUUAAGAUUCCGUCAACGCGGAUACAGCAACAGAUCCUUAAAGAAAGCAUAUCAUCGUGCGAAAAAGACAUCCAGAAAACCAAGGUGCCUGAUGACUAUUCGGUUUAUAACUGACUACAAUUCACAAUGGUCCAAGUUGAAGAAGAUUAUUGAAAAACAUUUACCAAUUUUGAGAAGAGACCCAGUCCUACGACAUUAAGUAUCUUCAAAUUUGAAAAUGACUGCCAGGAGAUCCAGAAAUCUACGUGACAUACUUGUAAAAAGAACUCAUUCCAUAUUGUCCAACAGCGUCUUUCUUCAGGAAAAGCAAGAAGAGAAAAAAGUUUAAAAAAAAAGAAAAGAAAAAAAAGAGUGCAACCCCCAUUCUGUUUUCCCCCCUUUUCUUCUUC